GAAGACACACUUAACAUUUCAACUGGAGACAAGUCUGAAAGAGUGAAAGAAAAAAAAAAGAAUAGAAAUAUAACUUUUGUGCAUACUGUGCAUGUGCGUGAGCUGAACAACGGUGAAAUUCUAAUUUUGUCUCUUACCUGGAUCUUUACAAUCAUUCAGACUGAGGCUGAAGGACUUGGUGAGGGACAUACUCAUCGGCUGCCUCAGCGAGGGCCCCAGGAGAGAGGCCAGGCCUGAAGGCUGGGAGGUGGAAGAGGUGGGACCAGAGCCAGGGAGAUGGAGCUGACUUCCUGUUUUCAAAUGGUCAUUCUCUGCCUUCAGGUUCUCCACCGUAGACUAGGAUACAGACAGUCUCCAUGAUUCUGGAGGGGACAAGAUGCAUCCAUUAGGGCCAGACACCCAUGAAGGCGAAACCCGCUACUACACUUUUGAGCUGGAGGAAAGUGUUUGUGUACUUACACAGAGGACGUGGCAGAGGCCGAGGUUUUGAGGGAUGAGGGCUGGUUUUCUCCUCCUUCGCCCCCCUCAUGAAGCAUCUUUGGGGAGUUGGGAGCUGAAGAGUCAGGGGUGGCGAUUUCCUCAAUGUCUGACUGUGUCGUCAGGUUAGACACCUUCUCCUGGGAUGAUUCCAGCUCCCUCCUCAGCUUACGGAUUUGCUGUGAUGAAAAACAGCGGCGAUGAGAGUGAUGGAUGAAAGGACAGAUAUGAGACAAGAGAAGAAGAAAGAGCAGGAAAGAACACACUUACCUCUCCCUGAAUCCUUUCCUCAGCCUUUGGAAGCAGGAGGAAUAAAAGUCAAGAUGUUAAAUAAGA